GUAGGGGAGCAUUCUAAUUUCAUUGAAGUUGGGUCGUAAGGCCUGGUGGAGGAAUUAGAAAAGAAAAUGUAGGCAUAAGUAACGAUAAAAUAGGUGAAAAACCUAUUCGCCAAUAGACUAAGGGUUCCUGAUCAAUGCUAAUCAGAUCAGGGUUAGUCGGGUCCUAAGGAUAACCCGAGAGGGGAAGCCGAUGGCAAACAGAUUAAUAUUUCUGUACCUGCUUUACAAUGAAAGUGACGGAGAGAAGGAGUAGCUACGUGCGGACGGAAGUGCACGUUGAGCCUAUCUGCAUGCAGAGAAGCGAAGUUAUGAAUGAUCUUCCAAGAAAUAGCGAGUAAUAGCAGCCCGUACCGUAAACCGACACAGGUAGUCAAGUAGAGUAUACUAAGGCGCUCGAGUGAUCCGUGGCUAAGGAAUUCGGCAAAAUGGUCCUGUAACUUCGGGAGAAAGGACGCCCCGUUAGCGAUAACGGGGCCGCAGUGAAUAGGCCCAGGCGACUGUUUAUCAAAAACACAGGACUCUGCUAAGUCGAAAGACGAUGUAUAGGGUCUGACACCUGCCCGGUGCUGGAAGGUUAAGUGGAGAUGUUAGCUUCGGCGAAGCAUUGAAAUGAAGCCCCAGUAAACGGCGGCCGUAACUAUAACGGUCCUAAGGUAGCGAAAUUCCUUGUCGGGUAAGUUCCGACCUGCACGAAUGGUGUAACGAUCUGGACACUGUCUCAGCCAUGAGCUCGGUGAAAUUGUAGUAUCGGUGAAGAUGCCGAUUACCCGCUGUGGGACGAAAAGACCCCGUGCACCUUUACUAUAGCUUCGUAUUGACCUUGGGCAAGGGAUGUGUAGGAUAGCUGGGAGGCUGUGAACCUGUUUCGCUAGGAAUGGGGGAGCCAUUGUUGAAAUACCAGCCUUCGUUUGUCCGGGGCCUAACCUCGAAAGGGGAACAGUGCGUGGUGGGUAGUUUGACUGGGGUGGUCGCCUCCAAAAGAGUAUCGGAGGCUUCCAAAGGUGUCCUCAGCACGCUUGGUAACCGUGCGUAGAGUGCAAUGGCACAAGGACGCUUGACUGUGAGACUUACAAGUCGAACAGGUACGAAAGUAGGGCAUAGUGAUCCGGUGGUUCCGCAUGGAAG
rnacentral:rRNA from 1 species